UACGGAGGGAGCUAGCGUUAUUCGGAAUUACUGGGCGUAAAGCGCACGUAGGCGGCUUUGUAAGUUAGAGGUGAAAGCCUGGAGCUCAACUCCAGAAUUGCCUUUAAGACUGCAUCGCUUGAAUCCAGGAGAGGUGAGUGGAAUUCCGAGUGUAGAGGUGAAAUUCGUAGAUAUUCGGAAGAACACCAGUGGCGAAGGCGGCUCACUGGACUGGUAUUGACGCUGAGGUGCGAAAGCGUGGGGAGCAAGCAGG
rnacentral:rRNA from 1 species